rnacentral:rRNA from 1 species
GGUUAAGCGACUAAGCGUACACGGUGGAUGCCCUGGCAGUCAGAGGCGAUGAAGGACGUGCUAAUCUGCGAUAAGCGUCGGUAAGGUGAUAUGAACCGUUAUAACCGGCGAUUUCCGAAUGGGGAAACCCAGUGUGUUUCGACACACUAUCAUUAACUGAAUCCAUAGGUUAAUGAGGCGAACCGGGGGAACUGAAACAUCUAAGUACCCCGAGGAAAAGAAAUCAACCGAGAUUCCCCCAGUAGCGGCGAGCGAACGGGGAGCAGCCCAGAGCCUGAAUCAGUGUGUGUGUUAGUGGAAGCGUCUGGAAAGGCGCGCGAUACAGGGUGACAGCCCCGUACACAAAAAUGCACAUGCUGUGAGCUCGAUGAGUAGGGCGGGACACGUGGUAUCCUGUCUGAAUAUGGGGGGGCCAUCCUCCAAGGCUAAAUACUCCUGACUGACCGAUAGUGAACCAGUACCGUGAGGGAAAGGCGAAAAGAACCCCGGCGAGGGGAGUGAAAAAGAACCUGAAACCGUGUACGUACAAGCAGUGGGAGCACGCUUAGGCGUGUGACUGCGUACCUUUUGUAUAAUGGGUCAGCGACUUAUAUUCUGUAGCAAGGUUAACCGAAUAGGGGAGCCGAAGGGAAACCGAGUCUUAACUGGGCGUUAAGUUGCAGGGUAUAGACCCGAAACCCGGUGAUCUAGCCAUGGGCAGGUUGAAGGUUGGGUAACACUAACUGGAGGACCGAACCGACUAAUGUUGAAAAAUUAGCGGAUGACUUGUGGCUGGGGGUGAAAGGCCAAUCAAACCGGGAGAUAGCUGGUUCUCCCCGAAAGCUAUUUAGGUAGCGCCUCGUGAAUUCAUCUCCGGGGGUAGAGCACUGUUUCGGCAAGGGGGUCAUCCCGA